CACGUAGGGGGCGAGCGUUGUCCGGAUUUAUUGGGCGGAAAGAGCUCGUAGGCGGCUCAGUAAGUCAGGUGUGAAAACUCCAGGCUCAACCUGGAGACGCCACUUGAUACUGCUGUGGCUAGAGUCCGGUAGGGGAGCAUGGAAUUCCUGGUGUAGCGGUGAAAUGCGCAGAUAUCAGGAGGAACACCAGUGGCGAAGGCGGUGCUCUGGGCCGGAACUGACGCUGAGGCGCGAAAGCUAGGGGAGCAAACGGG
rnacentral:rRNA from 1 species